rnacentral:tRNA from 1 species
GCGGGAGUAGCUCAGUUGGUUAGAGCGCCACGUUGCCAACGUGGAGGUCGAGGGUUCGAGUCCCUUUUCCCGCUCCA